UGGGUGGAGUUUCAAGGAGGCAGCAGGACGCAGGGCCGGCGUCCGCUGCAGGCACAGGUGUCGCGGGCGGGAGAAGGGCUGCCGGUGCCUCGGGCCUACCGGGGAGAAGCGGGCUUCCAGUGCGUGAACUCGGCGAGGACAGGGUGAAUCACGGGCCCCCGGAGCCAGCCGCGGGCUGUGUGCCCAUAAACCAGAUUCUCCGCCCUCGCUCUGCAGGGCGAUUCGCGUCCCGGUGACCGACUUGCGCUAACGUUUCUCAGCGGCAGCCUUAGGACCGCCCCCCCCCCCCGGGCGACAGGCUGCAGCUCUCCGGGCCACGGCAGGGAGGAGGGCCCUCGGCCACGGAAGAGGUGUGCUAACUGGGAAGAAGGCCGUGACGUUGGAGCGUCACGGGCACUAAAAAGUUUCUAGGACUCCGAGCUCGAGCGUCGCGGGGCGGCCCGCGCUGUGUCUUAAAACCCGACGGACACCCCGCGCGUGGUGCGGGUGCCUGCGGACCCCGGGGAGCGGCGGGCAGCUCUGCCCUCCGCGGGCCUCCGGCUCCGGCUGCACCCGCCUCACCUCGGAGCGCCGGGAAUGAGAAGAACAAAGUACAACAGUAAUCUCAAGAAGAAUUCACAACGUUUCGAAAGCAACAGGACAAAGUUACUGUCCUGAAAGUCAUCCGAACAAGACAGACGAGCUGAUCCUUCGCUGCCCGGCGUUGCCAGAAUCCGAACAGGAACAGCGUUAUCCUUAAGCACGUUACAUUUCCUUCUGGCUUGUGGUGCUGGGAAUACCGAAGGAAGAGACGUAGUCCCUUCCCUUAAGGAAACUCAAGAAGUCAAACACGAGACUCCAUCCGGCUCCUAGAUAAAUGCCUGAGGGAACUGAAUGCACGUCCAGGCAAAGGCUGGUGACCUUCUUCACGGCAGCCCCAGUCGGAAGCGCCCAAAUGUCCACCGCCUGUAGACUACAUGACUAAAAUGUGGUAUAUCCACACACUGGAAUAUUACCCGCCCAUUGAAGGAACCAGGUACCCAUCUGACCCCAAAGAACAGUAAGUACAGGGUCUGUCACCGAAGGACAAGGCUCCAAGGCCCGGGCAGAAUUUCCUCUCUCCCCUGCCUUUCUCAGGCUCACCCGCGUCGUUGAAGAUAACUGUCCUCACCCCAGCCAGCAGGGGCUGCCCUCACCUCCUUGGGGUCUCUCCCCAGGAGCACCUGUCCGGGCUUGAGUCACUGGGGACUAUAGCCUGGCCCGUGGUGCAUCCGAAAGCCAUCCAGAGCCCCUCGUGUUUUCUUCUUUUAUUGUAGUUGUGCUUCCCACUCCUGGAACUCUGAUGGAUGCUCGCGGAUGCUCCCGGUUGGGGGAUUUAGUAUGGAGCCAAGUCGGUGGUUCCUCUGAUUUGGAGACAGACGUUCCGGCUGGCUGUUUCCCAUUUCUUGUGAGACUGAAACGAACAGGAGAAUGAAAGAAAUCGUUAUUGGCACUUGACAAGAGACAGGAGGUCGUGAGGACAGAAGAGACGUGGAGGGGAUCUAGGGGAGGCAGCCUGAGAGGCGUCCCAUUACGCCAACCAGUCUGCGGGUAAAAUUUGCUCACGGGCUAACAUGCCCCUUGCGAUGGUUAAUUUUGCGUGUCAACUUGACUGGGCCAUGGAGCCCAGACAAGUGAGCAGCCGUUAUUCUGGAUGUUUCCUCGAGGGUGUUUUGGGAUGAGGUUAAUCCUUAAAUCCAUGGGCUUUGAGAUUACUUUCAUAGUGUGGGUAGGUGGGCCUCAUCCAAUCAGUUGAUGGACACCUGACUGCCUCCAAAGAAGGCAUUUUGCAGCAGAACGGCUUUUGGACUUGAGCCAAAACAUCAGCUGUCCCCUGGGACUCCACCCUGGUGGUCCACUCUAGCUUGUGGACUUGCCAGCCUCCACAAUUACGGGAGCCAAUUCCUUAAAAUAAAUCUCUUUCUAUAUAUA